CUUCCCGCGCCCCCGCCGACAGUCUCGCCGCGUCCCCGCCCGGGCGCCCCAGGCACGUAGCUGCCCGCCCGGAGGCGGCGGCAGAGCGCAGAGAGCGGGGCGAGGGUCCGGGUCUCCGGGGUCCUUCUUGCAGCAGCGCUGGCGAGGGCGGACCCAGAUGGCGCUCAGUACAGCCCCAGGAUGGCUGCGCCCACGUCCUUGGAGGGCCGGCGCUCCUGCACCAGAAAGUUGAUCAUGCUCUCGGACUUGAUGAGCAGGUUGCAGCCCAGGAAGAAGACGCCGAAGACCACGAAAUUUCCAAGGAAACUAUAUUUCUUACAUUGAUGGAAAUGUAUGGAAAGUGUACAGUUGGACCGAGAAACUGAUCUUACCUAGCCAUAUGGCCUGCUGCCUCUGCCAACUUAAAAACAGCAUUGAGGCUGUCUGCAAGACAGUCAAGCUGCAUUGCAACAGUGCAUGUCUGACAAACACCAUACAUUGUCGUUUAGGAUUGGGUGUGUGUGUCUCCUCUCUGAAUGGCACUCAAAUGUUUGCUGACUCCUACUCUGUGUGACUGGGGUGUACAGCUAUGG
rnacentral:lncRNA from 1 species